rnacentral:lncRNA from 1 species
UUGUUUGUCAAAAGGGUUUUACAUUCGAACCAUUUACAUUCUGACUGAAAUUUCCGGAAUGAAUUGAAUGGAAGGGAAAGUUUGUUACAGCUCUAAUAAAGAUGACAACACGGACGACAUCAAGUAAAAAAUAUACGGCACGCAAUGCAUGCAGAAGCGAUGACGUUAAACUGCCGGAAAAUGCGCAAUAAGCGGAGCGCCUUGACAGGUUUUCCAAAAUUUCCAACCAAAAUAACCGAGUGGAAAAUUUGCUUACCAUUUGCAAUUCUUGGAAUUAUGAUCACGUUUAACCCAUCCUUGUCCCUUUUGGUAAAUUGUUUAUUUUUUUUUUUUUUAGUAAAUGGUAAAUGGCCAAUCCGAACGGAACUUACCAUCAGGUAUUUUUGCUUACCAUUUGCACAAACCUUUUAAGAACCGAUUUCUCCGUGUAAAUGGUAAACAACCAUGUUCUCCGGCUGUGGUAAUUUGAUCAAGUGACGAAUCUCUACUCAGUAGGUCACUGUACCCCAAUCAUCUUUUUUUUGUUUGUAUCUAGUUGUAUUUAUGAAAUCACAAAUCAUUCUCUUUCAGUGACAAUAUAAAUUCUUACCUUGUUGAAGAAUGUCUGAUUUCACACCCAGCGGUUUUGGACUGUGCUGUGGUCAGCAGUCCUGACCCACUUGGACAGGCGUCCGUGAAAGCAUUUGUCGUGUUGUCCAGUGAUUUUAAGAACAAAGAACAAGAUGAGAUGAUAAAGGAGCUGCAAGAUAACUUGGCAAAGAGUAUGGCAUCCUGGACGAGCCCAAAGAAGAGAGAAUUUGUGGAUGCAUUUCCCUCUACACAAACUGGCAAGGUCAACCGACACGAACUGAAACAAAAGGAGUGGAAUCAGUUUAAUAAAUAAGGAACAAAAUAUUGCAUGGGAAAAACGCUGAACCCUGUUAGGAUGAUUAGAUUUAAGCGUAGUUACAAAAGCUCUUAAUUAAUACCACGAAAAUUAACUAUUAAAAAUAACUUGUUGUUGAUUCCCACGCGAUUCUCAACCUCUUUAAACUUCUUUAAAAGUCUACUUUAGCGUCAGGUGAAAGAGAAACAAUGAUCAAAUGAUUCAAAGUUUAGUAAUUAAUGUUUGACAAUUACUUUCUUAUCAACAGAUUACGUCGUUUACAUAAAAUCGAUCAUAAAUUUGUUAAAGAUAGCAUACACUGAGUCCGAAAUUUCGGUCUAACUACGACUAACCUAAGGGAGAUCAGCGUAAUGUUCGUUCAAAAAGUCUUACAAUGAAGUUAGUUCUUUUACGUCUAUAUAAAAUAAAAUUACUCAACAAAUCAUAAUUUUUGUUGUUUCGAGUAAAUGACUAUGUCAAAUGCAACGCACAUACGGCUAUAACAAAUUCUGUUUCUAUGGCAACUCACUCUUUUCCAGUCCCCUCCAACCUACCUGGCAUGUGACAUAUAGUUAUUUACUCAGGAGUCUAUUUACUCAUUCUUACUGAAGAUGAAGAAAAUCUCUAUAAAAACCUAUUACCCACUGUAAUUGUACCGGUCACCCAAAUCGCCGUUUAUUGGUAGAAAAAUAUACGCGCACAAAAACAGAUCUUCUUGUAAUACGUUGUCACAGGCAAAUUGUCAUUGACCUAGCUGACAAUGUAUUUUAACCAUGCGAUCGUAGAGCCUAAAUUCUAUUUAAAAGUAGCUCUCAGUUCUCUCAAAUGUGAGUUGUCAGACGAACAACUGACCCCUUCCCCUAUCCAAAAUAUUUUUGUAAUUUUCAUUGGCCCAGAGCUCUAAUUCGUAACCGUUGAUGCUAAUCGUGUACUAUUAGUGUAAGCUUCACGACCGGGCAAAAAGUUUUGUGAACGCGGAAAACGCAGCUCUAGUGGUGAAGCGGAGAAGGCUUGCAAAAUAUGGUUUCAUAGGAAAACAAGCCUUACCAUCUGUCCCCAUUUCGAAAUUUUCGAAAUUUUUAGUUAAAUGGUAAACGCCUUUACUCAGUCGAAGAACUCACUAGCCUGGAGCUCAAAGAAAUGUUAGUCGAUGAAGAAUAGAGUCUCUAAGAGAAUCAGAGAAAAGAUCGAUGGUUGCCCUGAAAUCCGCGUCGCUUAAAAGAUCAGAUCACGAAAACAGUGUCCGAAAAGUUCGUCAAACUCUGUGCCGAAAGAAAAAAGGCAGAGGAACAAGGCUAGGAAAUAGCGGCGCGUUAUCGCCGCGAUUAAAGAUCGUGACUUAGAAUGAGACACUUGAAAUAUUCCCUCGAAGUUUCUAGUAUUCCGCACCGCGAUAUAAGAUAUUUUAUCAAUGAAUGUUCGUAGGGUUAGAGAUCAAACCAAACGAAGAAGUAUUUUUUUUCGUCCCAGAAAGGCUAUAAAUAUAAUUAUAUUGUCAGUCCCACGCAAGUGUGUGCACGAUUACUUAUCAAUUAUUAUAAACGGUCCAGAUUAAUUCUCAAUUUAGAGUGAGCACAGUCACUGUAUUUUGAGUUAUUUUGGCCACGUACAAAAUUACCUUUAAAUUUUAGGAAACCU